AUUCAGCUGACGAGUCUCAACCAGGCUGAAACGCUCGUCCUGGAU
rfam:Schistosoma curassoni strain Dakar, Senegal genome assembly, scaffold: SCTD_scaffold0001376